rnacentral:rRNA from 1 species
UACAGAGGUCUCAAGCGUUGUUCGGAUUCAUUGGGCGUAAAGGGUGUGUAGGUGGCGCUGUAAGUCGGGUGUGAAAUCUCGGGGCUUAACUCCGAAACUGCAUUCGAUACUGCGGUGCUUGAGGACUGGAGAGGAGACUGGAAUUCAUGGUGUAGCAGUGAAAUGCGUAGAGAUCAUGAGGAAGACCAGUGGCGAAGGCGGGCCUCUGGACAGUUCCUGACACUGAGACACGAAGGCCAGGGGAGCAAACGGG